UGGGGAAUUUUCCGCAAUGGGCGAAAGCCUGACGGAGCAACGCCGCGUGAGGGAUGAAGGCCUCUGGGCUGUAAACCUCUUUUAUCAAGGAAGAAGAUCUGACGGUACUUGAUGAAUAAGCCACGGCUAAUUCCGUGCCAGCAGCCGCGGUAAUACGGGAGUGGCAAGCGUUAUCCGGAAUUAUUGGGCGUAAAGCGUCCGCAGGCGGCCCUUCAAGUCUGCUGUUAAAAAGUGGAGCUUAACUCCAUCAUGGCAGUGGAAACUGUUGGGCUUGAGUGUGGUAGGGGCAGAGGGAAUUCCCGGUGUAGCGGUGAAAUGCGUAGAUAUCGGGAAGAACACCAGUGGCGAAGGCGCUCUGCUGGGCCAUCACUGACGCUCAUGGACGAAAGCCAGGGGAGCG
rnacentral:rRNA from 1 species